UAUAGAUAUGUAUAUAUAUAUGAUGUGUUGUUAUUGAGAAUCAUUUGUAGUGUCUGUCAUAUUAAGUUUUUUGAAGGGUAUGGUCAUAUGGCUCUCCAAUGAUAGUGCAAAAAAAAAUGUCUCUCUCUAUAUUGGAUGUUGCCACUCCUAUUUUAGAUAAAAAUAUAAACAUAUAUACACAUUACACAUUAUUUAUUAAUAUGUACUGUUAUAGGCAAUAAAAGACGGAGUAGUGAUGCCACUCGUAUGGAAUUUAAUAUAUCGUAGGGAUAAGUUAUAUUAUUGAAGUAAAUCGGAAUGUUAUCGCCAUAUAACCUCGUACAGUAAAAAUAAGAUUUGACUAUGACAAUGAGAGGGAUGAGUUUGAAUUGUGUUGCUUGGUAGUUCUGGUUAAUCGUUUAACUUAUUUCGAUGGAUUUUUCGAAGGAUAUAAACUUGUAUCUACCAUUGUUCCAAUGAACUCAUAUAUUUUCACUUAAUUGAAUAGAAUGUCCUACCUACAUGACUCUUAGUUAUAACUUGAUGUUCAGGAUAUCGUUCCUUUGAGUAGGAUCUUUGGCUCACUCAUUAGCUCUCAUCUCAAUUAAUGGAAGAAUAAUUCGUUGUUAAUAUACACUUUAACAUAAAGGUAUAUCAUAGUGACUUCUUAUCUUGUAGAUCAUGGACUCAAUAAUGUAUCAGCCGCUGCAGAUUAUAAAUUGAAUAGUUGUAUAUAAUUUUUUAUUGAAUUAAUAACUUAAUUCAAUAACUUCUUCUCGUAAUUUUACGUCUUUAGUAAUAAGUCUAAGAAAACAUGUAAAAUAAUAUAAAAGGGAUAUAAGUCGGAUUGUCAAAUUGGUAUUAAAACAAUUAUUCUUUUAUAAGAAA
rnacentral:lncRNA from 1 species